UACGUAGGGGGCAAGCGUUGUCCGGAAUCAUUGGGCGUAAAGAGCGCGUAGGCGGUCCGGUAAGUCCGCUCUGAAAGUCCGGGGCUCAACCCCGGGAGGCGGGCGGAUACUGUCGGGCUAGAGUCCGGAAGAGGCGAGUGGAAUUCCUGGUGUAGCGGUGGAAUGCGCAGAUAUCAGGAGGAGCACCGAUAGCGAAGGCAGCUCGCUGGGACGGUACUGACGCUAAGGCGCGAAAGCGUGGGGAGCGAACAGG
rnacentral:rRNA from 1 species